rnacentral:rRNA from 1 species
AUUAUAAAACCUAUUUGAAAUGGCGGCAUUACAUCUUAUUAGAGGAACCUGUCUUUUAAUCGAUAAUCCACGAUAAUUUUCACUUUAAUUAAAAAUUUAUAUACCGCCAUCUAAAGAAUUAAUUUUUUAAUAAUAUUCUAAAUAAAAUAAUAAAAAGUUAGGUCAAGGUGUAAUCUAUAUUAAAGCUUAAAUGGGUUACAUUAAAUAAAAUUUAAGAAAUAUUUUAUAAAAAUAAUCAAUGAAAAAGGAUUUAAAAGUAAUAUAAAAAUAAUAAUUCAAUUUGAAUAAGAUAAUAAAUGUGCACACAUCGCCGGUCCGCUCUUA